rnacentral:tRNA from 1 species
UAAUAAUUAAAAUAAUAAUUAAUAUACUAAUUAAUAUACUAAAUUAUACAUAUACUAAUAUAUAAUUUCUAAUUUAUUUCAUUUAGAAUUUUUUUUCUGACUUAUUUACUAUUACUUUAUGACUAUGACUAUAUGACUAUGGGCGAAUGACGGGAAUUGAACCCGCGCAUGGUGGAUUCACAAUCCACUGCCUUGAUCCACUUGGCUACAUCCGCCCCUAAUACUAUACUCUAUUUCAAAAUUAAAUAAAAUAUUAGAAGAUACAAGGAUUUUUAGUUCUAACAUUUAAUAUUAAAUUUUAUCUUUCCUAUAAGAUCUUAUAAGAUACAACUACAAAAAUACAAAAGACAUAAAAAUUAAUAUUAAAUGUUAGAACUAAAAAUCC